rnacentral:rRNA from 1 species
AUACAGAGGGUGCAAGCGUUAAUCGGAAUUACUGGGCGUAAAGCGUGCGUAGGUGGUUUGAUAAGUCAGGUGUGAAAUCCCAGAGCUCAACUUUGGAAUUGCGCUUGAGACUGUCAGGCUAGAGUACUGUAGAGGGUAGUGGAAUUUCCGGUGUAGCGGUGAAAUGCGUAGAUAUCGGAAGGAACACCAGUGGCGAAGGCGACUGCCUGGACAGACACUGACACUGAGGCACGAAAGCGUGGGUAGCGAACAGGAUUAGAUACCCUGGUAGUCCAUGCCGUAAACGAUGAGAACUAGCUGUUUGUCUCCUAGAGAGAUGAGUAGCGAAGCUAACGCGUUAAGUUCUCCGCCUGGGGAGUACGGCCGCAAGGCUAAAACUCAAAGGAAUUGACGGGGCCCGCACAAGCGGUGGAGCAUGUGGUUUAAUUCGAAGCAACGCGCAGAACCUUACCAACCCUUGACAUCCUAGUGCUAUAUCCAGAGAUGGAUAGUU